GCAAGUCGAACGAGAAAGUACCUUCGGGUGCGAGUAAAGUGGCGGACGGGUGAGUAACGCGGGGGCAUCUGCCUAGUAGUGGGGGACAACAAUCGGAAACCGUUACUAAUACCGCAUACGCCCUACGGGGGAAAGGCUUCGGCCGCUAUUAGAGGAGCCCACGUAAGAUUAGCUUGUUGGUGGGGUAAUGGCCUACCAAGGCAACGAUCUUUAGCUGGUCUGAGAGGACGAUC
rnacentral:rRNA from 1 species